UACGUAGGGAGCGAGCGUUGUCCGGAAUUACUGGGCGUAAAGGGUGCGUAGGCGGUGUUGUCAGUCAGUUGUGAAAUCUCCCGGCUUAACUGGGAGGGUGCAGCGGAAACUAGAAUGCUAGAGGGUGGGAGAGGUAAGCGGAAUUCCUGGUGUAGCGGUGAAAUGCGUAGAUAUCAGGAGGAACACCUGUGGUGUAGACAGCUUACUGGACCACUUCUGACGCUGAGACACGAAAGCGUGGGGAGCGAACAGG
rnacentral:rRNA from 1 species